UAUAACAAUCUUUCAACAGCAAGCACAAGUGGCAGCAGCAGCAUGAGUGAUGAAGGUAGUACCAUAAUAGUACGGCAAAGUCAGAGUAUGAGAAUCGAGUUUCCCUUUACGCUUAAAGUGGGUCAGGUCUUUACUGGCUUUGGCGUUGGUUGUGGUCUUGGUAUCGGCGUUGGUCGCCCCAUCAAUUUAGGUGCUAUCCCUAUGCUGAACCAAGUUAUGAGUGCUGCUAGUGGUGCUACACAGGCUUUCUCUGGUAUGUAAUUUUUUCUCCUCUUCUUUAGUUUUCAAUCGUUUCAUUGUUUUUUUUUUUUUUUUUUUUUUUUUUUUUUUUUUUUUUUUUUUUAAUAUAUAUAUAUAAAAGAAACUGCUCCCCCAAUAAGUUCUUAUUUUCUUAAGAUAUAUUCUCCUAUCAAUUCCUUUCUUCCCCUAACGUGCAUGACAAUUACCCCACUAAUCCCAUUAUUAUACAGUAUAAUUAUAUUUGAAAUACUAUUUAAUUAUAUGAUAAGUGAUCAUCCUUUACAUUUGUGUUGCUAUAAAUCAAGCUCCAAUUCCACAUUCAUUUUCAAAAAACCAAAAAAACUAAAAAUUCAAACUUCUCCCUAUUUCCUUAACACAUCCUCUUUGUUUUUUUAGGUUGGUGUGUUGUGGUAAACCAACAAUACCAAAAAAAAAAAAAAAAA